AGGAGGCUGACCCACAGGCAGCUUUCCCCGAUGUCCAACCAGAACAAAUGGACGUGGUGCUGGGCCUGAGGACGUUUAGCCCUUGCAACCGGCUUCCGUCGCUGCCACCUGCCACGGCUCUUUGCUCACAUUUUAUUUCGCCGGAAACGUGAUGUUCUUGGUCUCC
rfam:Tursiops truncatus cont1.129461, whole genome shotgun sequence.